CGAGUGAAGCGGCAAGAGCUCAAAUUUGAAAUCUGGCUCCUCCGGGGUCCGAGUUGUAAUUUGCAGAGGAUGCUUCGGGUGCGGUCCCCGUCUAAGUACCCUGGAAUGGGUCGUCAUAGAGGGUGAGAAUCCCGUCUGGGACGGGUGGCCGUGUCCGUGUGAAGCUCCUUCGACGAGUCGAGUUGUUUGGGAAUGCAGCUCUAAAUGGGUGGUAAAUUUCAUCUAAAGCUAAAUAUUGGCCGGAGACCGAUAGCGCACAAGUAGAGUGAUCGAAAGAUGAAAAGCACUUUGAAAAGAGAGUUAAACAGCACGUGAAAUUGUUGAAAGGGAAGCGCUUGCGACCAGACUCGCCCGCGGGGGUUCAGCCGGUACUCGUACCGGUGUACUCCCCCGUGGGCGGGCCAGCGUCGGUUUGGGCGGCCGGUCAAAGGCCUCCGGAAUGUAUCGCCCUUCGGGGCGUCUUAUAGCCGGGGGUGCAAUGCGGCCAGCCUGGACCGAGGAACGCGCUUCGGCUCGGACGCUGGCGUAAUGGUCGUAAGCGGCCCGUCUUGAAACACGGACCAAGGAGUCUAACAUCUACGCGAGUGUUCGGGUGUCAAACCCGUCCGCGCAGUGAAAGCGAACGGAGGUGGGAACCCCGUACGGGGUGCACCAUCGACCGAUCCUGAUGUCUUCGGAUGGAUUUGAGUAAGAGCGUAGCUGUUGGGACCCGAAAGAUGGUGAACUAUGCCUGAAUAGGGCGAAGCCAGAGGAAACUCUGGUGGAGGCUCGCAGCGGUUCUGACGUGCAAAUCGAUCGUCA
rnacentral:rRNA from 1 species